rnacentral:tRNA from 1 species
UAGGGAGACCUACCCAACUUGCAUAUCGAAAGCAUAGUGCAAUAGAUAUCAAGAUGGUCAUCCUAGGUCGGUAGCAGAGACUUGUGAAAGCUUUCAAACUAUGAUUGGGUUCUUAAUGGGCUAUUAGCUCAGGUGGUUAGAGCGCACCCCCGAUAAGGUGAGGUCCCCUGGUCCGAGUCCCGGGUGGGCCCCCUGAAGGGGGGUUAGGGUUUGAAGGUUAGGGGUAAGGGUUAAAAAAAUGAUAAAUUCUUCAUUAAAAAUUAUAAAUUUUUGUAGGGGGGUUUAGCUCAGUUGGUAGAGCGCCUGCUUUGCAAGCAGGAUGUCAGCGGUUCGAGUCCGCUAACCUCCACAUUGGAAUAAAAAUAAGUGAGAAGAAGUCCAGCAACAUGGUAUGAAGCCAGACUGCUGGGUGAGAACUCAGCCAGAACCUUGAAAACUGCAUAGGAAUGGGAAGCAGGCAGACACAGACA